rnacentral:rRNA from 1 species
AUUGAACGCUGGCGGAAUGCUUUACACAUGCAAGUCGAACGGCAGCACGGGGCAACCUGGUGGCGAGUGGCGAACGGGUGAGUAAUACAUCGGAACGUGCCCAAUCGUGGGGGGAUAACGUAGCGAAAGUUACGCUAAUACCGCAUACGAUCUACGGAUGAAAGCGGGGGAUCGCAAGACCUCGCGCGAAUGGAGCGGCCGAUGUCAGAUUAGGUAGUUGGUGGGGUAAAGGCUCACCAAGCCAACGAUCUGUAGCUGGUCUGAGAGGACGACCAGCCACACUGGAACUGAGACACGGUCCAGACUCCUACGGGAGGCAGCAGUGGGGAAUUUUGGGACAAUGGGCGCAAGCCUGAUCCAGCCAUUCCGCGUGCAGGAUGAAGGCCU